GACUCUAUAAUAUAUGUAUGUAUUUACACUCGUCCAUACUCCCUAUAUAAAUUCAUGGGUCUAUAUAGGGCUACUACGCUCGCGUCCAACGCUCACGUCACGCCUUAAUGCGGUGCUACACUACGCCAUCAAGGUGGACAGACGGGUGUAUAAAUAUGUGCCCAUACCCCCUAUAUGAAUUAAACACUCAUAUAGGGCUACUACGCUUACGUCCAACGCUCACGUCACACCAUAAUGCGGCUAUAUGCUACGCCAUUAAGGUGGACAGACACAUAUGGCUAGCUAGCAGUUUCUAUACAUACUCUCUCAUAAAUACAUAUUUAUAUUUACCGAAAAUCCCAUUUUCGGUAACUCUCUCAAAGAAAUAAAAGCGUCAAAAUUAAUUGACGUCAAAACUCCAACAAAAGGAAAUGUUCAAUCAUGAACCAUAGCAUGCAUAUUAUUUCAAAUAAAAGUCCACUCACGAAUUAGGCCUAAGCCUGAUGUCAAUCUGGGGUCUCGUCUGCUCGAGCCUCUUCACGUCCUGUUCCAAAUAUAAUAUUAAUUUCCCAACCAAUAAUCCAAUAUUUAAUCAAAAUAGGCAAAAUUACCCGAGAGCCAUAAUUACGCUCAUCAUUGCCUUACUUCGAUAUUCUUACAUCGGAACAAUCCGAACUUAAAUAUCAUACUCAACAGUCGUAAAUACAACCUCCCCAAAAUACGACUUAAAUCCUACGGCCGGAUUCUACAUUAAUUAACCGCCAAAAAUACCAAACUUCGGAAAUUCACAAACCUAUCCAAAUCUCAUCCAAAAAUUCCAUAACUCACUUCAAUAAACUCCCCUUAAUAUUCCAAAUUUAACAACAUUAAAAUCUCCCAACCGGCGGCGGCGCCGGCGGCGGCUCCGCCGGCAGCGGCGGCCGGAGGUCAAUUCCGGCGACCUCCAAACCUAUGAAUUUAACAGCAUCUUCCUCUCAUCAAGCUCUACAACUUUCAUAACUAGCACAAACUACCAAUUCCAAGCCUAAC
rnacentral:lncRNA from 1 species